GGACUGGUCGGUAACUAAACAAAUCAUGGACAAGAGGGACAGGCUCCAGAGGGCUGGCCUGUUGGUGACCCGCCUUUUUGAAGAGUCCGGCGUUCCACCAUCCCUCUUAGGAACACGUAAGCCGACUAGUCUGCGCACAGAAUUGGAAAUGGCUUCUGAAAACUGCAAACAAGGUCAACCGGAGGCAGUCAAAAUUUCCAAACAGAAGGCUAAGCUCCAAAAAACUUUACUCCCUUCCAAUGAACCC